CCCACCGCCAGGGGGGGUGGGAGUGGUGGAAGCACCCCCUCGGCCCAGCCUGACCCGGCCCGGAGCCGCCUGCAGUACGUGACCUCCCACCGCCAGGGGGGGGGGAAGCACCCCUUCGGCCCAGCCUGACCCGGCCCGGAGCCGCCUGCAGUACGUGACCUCCCACCGCCAGGGGGGGUGGGGGUGGUGGAAGCACCCCCUCGGCCCAGCCUGACCCGGCCCGGAGCCGCUGCAGUACGUGACCUCCCACCGCCAGGGGGAGCACCGCCUUGGUCUGGGAUCACAGGAAUUCCUAAAGAUGAGGAGACAGAUACUGAAACUGUAAUAUGCGAGAGAGCCUGCAGUCAAUUACAGAACCGGAUUCAAGUCCACAGCCCACCCUUAUCAGUGAAAGGGUAAAGUGGCAUUCUGUGCUGGAGUGCAGGAGGACUUGUUGUUUGGUGAACUCUAUUUGGAAGGGGAUGGCCAGAGCGACUGGUUCACAACUUAAGCAUUGCAUCAGCACUGAGCAGCACGCUUUGGUAAGAAUAUGAAGGCAUUGGCAAGGUGAACCACAAGCAAGGAAUACCGUGGAUGAGGAAAUGACAUCUUCAUGCAGAGUUCCAUCAUGGCAAAUGGCACAAGGUGAAGUAGGAAAGCACAAGUGCAAUUAAAUGAGAGAAAAAAAUAUGAAAUUCAACUUUUGUUUUCUGUGCGUCAGUCGGACGUUGUAAAGGGGAAAGAAAUGAGAAGAGACCUCAUUUGGUGCUUCACUGAGAUACUAGACUAGAUAUGUCGUGAUCUAGUA